GAAAACCAACAGGGCAAAACAGGGCAAAAACAAACGGCACCAUUUUCACAUUUUCAGUGACUAGCGCAAGCAGAAAUGAAAACCAAGCAGCACCAAAACUAAUAGGCCCUCCCUCAACAAUCUUGCGUGCAUUUUUAAUGGAAGUCAUGGACUUAAACCUUACAACUAAUACUUUCAUCAAAGUACCAAUCACUUGAAACAAAGUUGAACCAGGCAAUAUUAAAAAACUAGCAUACAUAAAGCAUUAAAAUUUAUUAAAGACACAAUAAAAGCAAAGAUUGUGGCCAGCAACACUAUGAAAAAUUAGUGUAAAAAAUCCAGCACACGUUAAAAACCAC
rnacentral:misc_RNA from 1 species